rnacentral:rRNA from 1 species
GUAGGUGGCAAGCGUUGUCCGGGAAUUAUUGGGGCGUAAAGCGCGCGCAGGCGGUUCUUUAAGUCUGAUGUGAAAGCCCACGGGCUCAACCGUGGAGGGUCAUUGGAAACUGGAGAACUUGAGUACAGAAGAGGAAAGCGGAAUUCCACGCGUAGCGGUGAAAUGCGUAGAGAUGUGGAGGAACACCAGUGGCGAAGGCGGCUUCCUGGUCUGUAACUGACGCUGAGGCGCGAAAGCGUGGGGAGCAAACAGGAUUAGAUACCCUGGUAGUCCACGCCGUAAACGAUGAGUGCUAAGUGUUAGGGGGUUUCCGCCCCUUAGUGCUGCAGCUAACGCAUUAAGCACUCCGCCUGGGGAGUACGGCCGCAAAGGCUGA